AUUUCAUUUCCAAAAAGCAAAAUGUGACCAUCUUCUAUCCGGAAAAAGCGCAAAAUGGAACUGAUGAGGACACAAAGACUCAAGGAGGCUGGUGAUUGGCCAAGAUCGUGAAUCAAGUGCUAACCAGCCAAGACUGGCAACUGCAGACAGUCUGCACUGUGCAGCCAAUGGGACGUUGGAGCCCACAGGUCUGGAUCAUGCCCUGCACCUGGCCUGCGGAACCAUCUACCACAGACCGAACCCAGACCCAUUCAUCAAAGACAACAUUCCAAAUUUUAAUCCAUCUGGGGAAUCUUUCUGGCACUUGGUCAGUCUGAAAAAAAAAAAUACAACUUUUAAGAGAGUUGGAUUGGCUGAGAAAUACAAUCAUCUUUCUGAAAACAGUGCAGUUUUAUCUUAUUCUAGUAAAUGUUAGGAGAAUAAGAUAAAUUUAAUCUAGAUGAAUGCAGUAAUGGGUGUAAGCUUUGGUAUUUAAGGAAAUCAAAUAUAACUUAAAAAUAUGACCAUAUAGAUCUAUUUCUUCUCUCAUCUGAAACUACUAAAUGACAGUAAAGGGAUUUUUAAGAAGAUAUAUGAGGCAACAGUAAAUGAAAAAAAUUCAGUAACUCUGCAAAAUGGAAAGUGGGUGGAAGGAUAAUGAGAACAAUGGAAGAGUAGGUGCCCAGCUCAGGGGUGACUGUGGGAACCUGGAUCCGCAAAAGCUUAGGACUUAUAGAUAGAGGGACCGAUAGAAGGUCUGCACACCAAAUAAUGGGAGGACCAUGAACCCCCUCUCUUUCUUCCUUUUUUUUUUUUUUGUUGUUGUUGUUAUACUGUGGCUUG